GUGGCAGUGAUGAUUGGCGCAGGGGUACAGACCUCAGCUAGAUCAUGGGAGCUGAGUGUAAGCUGUCUGUGUUCCAGCACUGCUGGCAUGUCGCUGGCUUCCUGGAGAGUAGCUUACAUGAGAACUUUGCCUUAUGCUGAGCCAC